rnacentral:rRNA from 1 species
CCUACGGGUGGCAGCAGUCGAGAAUAAUUCACAAUGGGGGAAACCCUGAUGGUGCGACGCCGCGUGGGGGAAUGAAGGUCUUCGGAUUGUAAACUCCUGUCAUGUGGGAGAAAAUUAAAAAGAUAGUACCACAUGAGGAAGAGAUGGCUAACUCUGUGCCAGCAGCCGCGGUAAUACAGAGGUCGCAAGCGUUGUUCGGAAUCACUGGGCGUAAGGUGUGCGUAGGCUGGUUGGUAAGUCGUGUGUGAAAGGCGCGGGCUCAACCCGCGGACGGCACAUGAUACUGCGAGACUAGAGUAAUGGAGGGGGAACCGGAAUUCUUGGUGUAGCAGUGAAAUGCGUAGAUAUCAGGAAGAACACUGGUGGCGAAGGCGGGUUCCUGGACGAUAACUGACGGUGAGGCGCGAAAGCGUGGGGAGCAAAAAGGAUUAGAUACCCGGGUAGUC